CGGACGGGUGAGUAAUGCCUAGGAAUCUGCCUGGUAGUGGGGGACAACGUUUCGAAAGGAACGCUAAUACCGCAUACGUCCUACGGGAGAAAGCAGGGGACCUUCGGGCCUUGCGCUAUCAGAUUGAGCCUAGGUCGGAUUAGCUAGUUGGUGAGGUAAUGGCUCACCAAGGCGACGAUCCGUAACUGGUCUGAGAGGAUUAUCAGUCACACUGGAACUGAGACACGGUCCAG
rnacentral:rRNA from 1 species